UCUGUGGGUAUGCAUACGCUAUGGGGACAAUACUGGCAUAGCUUUAGCACCCUAGCUAUGCCGGCAUAGCCCCAUGGUGUGUAGACUCACCAA
rnacentral:ncRNA from 2 species